rnacentral:rRNA from 1 species
GAUGAACGCUGGCGGCGUGCCUAAUACAUGCAAGUCGAGCGAACGGACGAGAAGCUUGCUUCUCUGAUGUUAGCGGCGGGCGGGUGAGUAACACGUGGAUAACCUACCUAUAAGACUGGGAUAACUUCGGGAAACCGGAGCUAAUACCGGAUGAUAUUUUGAACCGCAUGGUUCAAAAGUGAAAGACGGUCUUGCUGUCACUUAUAGAUGGAUCCGCGCUGCAUUAGCUAGUUGGUAAGGUAACGGCUUACCAAGGCAACGAUGCAUAGCCGACCUGAGAGGGUGAUCGGCCACACGGGAACUGAGACACGGUCCAGACUCCUACGGGAGGCAGCAGUAGGGAAUCUUCCGCAAUGGGCGAAAGCCUGACGGAGCAACGCCGCGUGAGUGAUGAAGGUCUUCGGAUCGUAAAACUCUGUUAUUAGGGAAGAACAUAUGUGUAAGUAACUGUGCACAUCUUGACGGUACCUAAUCAGAAAGCCACGGCUAACUACGUG